UUCUGAUAACAACAGGUAUGUCUCAUGCCAUGCGCGCUGCUAUAUACGCAGAAGUUUGGGCAUUGCGAGUUGCACGAGGAACUACUUCCAGGAGUAUUUGAUACCACACGAGCUGACCACACCUCCCUUAGUGACAAACGCCGUGGUUGGCUUCGGAGAAUGGGAACAGUGUCGAUCGCGAGGCAUUCAAGUGUCCUUCUGCUUUUCGCUGCGCUAGUUUCUGGAAAAGGUGGUGGAAACGAAACGUAUUGCGACAAGCAGGACGUCGCUGUGUGCUACUGGGGCUUUGCUGACAGGUUUGGGAAAAUUCCUCUUUUAGGACGUAAGGACAACAAAACGUCCUAUUUGACAAACCUGUGCUUGAGUGAGUCAUCGGAGUUUCCCGAAUACAACUUUUGCAAGCAACAUCGCUACGGUAGGUGCACGGAAAGCGAGAGAAAGGAGUUCUCUAGGAUGGAAAGAGGCUACGUGGCGCUUCGUGAAGAAUUAACUUCAGCACAAAACUGCGAGUUGUCAGCCUUGAUAUGAAAAGUGGCACUUUGGAAGAUCAGGUGCCUGAACAGAACAGGGGAGCACAAAACUUGAAGGGAUGCGUCGAGGCAGCGGUUAAAACGUGUGGCGUGAAGAAACACCAUGCCGCGAUCUCCCACCUGCUGAAGAUUGUUGACGCCAUUGUCGAGCUGUCCUGGUUACCUCUGAUGCAAAACGCUGCUUACCCAACGAAAAGUGCAACAGCGGCGAUUGCAGCAUGCCUCCUGGGAUUGGCUGUACGGAGCUAUGUGUAGAUGAGCACGCAUGUAUUCAAGCCUCCCCCCCCCCCCCCCGCAGUCACGGAUCAUGGUCAAUGAGACAUUCGGUUCUUCAUACCAGACAAUUAAAGACCCCAUGAGAAACGCGCCCGUGAAUGGGAUUAUACGAAUCAUCUGAAGACUGCUCUUAGCAUGCAGUUGCGUUCAGAGUGAAAAAUAUAUGGAAGAAAAUAAAUACGUUAAGACUACAUGUACAUAUUCUAAGAAA
rnacentral:misc_RNA from 1 species